rnacentral:rRNA from 1 species
UUGGAGGGCAAGUCUGGUGCCAGCAGCCGCGGUAAUUCCAGCUCCAAUAGCGUAUAUUAAAGUUGUUGCAGUUAAAAAGCUCGUAGUUGAAUUUCGGGAUUGACGUGAUGGUCAUGCCUUAAGGGGUAUGAACUGUCACUGUUGAUUUCUCACCUUCUGGAGAAACUUGAUGUCCUUUAUUGGGUGUCUUGCGGAUCCAGGACCUUUACCUUGAAAAAAUUAGAGUGUUUAAAGCAGGCAUUUUUGCUCGAAUACAUUAGCAUGGAAUAAUAGAAUAGGACGGCAUGGUUCUAUUUUGUUGGUUUCUAGGAUCACCGUAAUGAUUAAUAGGGAUAGUUGGGGGCAUUAGUAUUCAAUUGUCAGAGGUGAAAUUCUUGGAUUUAUUGAAGACUAACUACUGCGAAAGCAUUUGCCAAGGAUGUUUUCAUUAAUCAAGAACGAAAGUUAGGGGAUCGAAGACGAUCAGAUACCGUCGUAGUCUUAACCAUAAACUAUGCCGACUAGGAAUCAGACGAUGUUAAUUUUUUAAUGACUCGUUUGACACCUUACGGGAAACCAAAGUGUUUGGGUUC